rnacentral:rRNA from 1 species
CCGGCGCACGGGUGAGUAACGCGUAUGCAACUUACCUAUCAGAGGGGGAUAACCCGGCGAAAGUCGGACUAAUACCGCAUGAAGCAGGGGCCCCGCAUGGGGAUAUUUGCUAAAGAUUCAUCGCUGAUAGAUAGGCAUGCGUUCCAUUAGGCAGUUGGCGGGGUAACGGCCCACCAAGACAUCGAUGGAUAGGGGUUCUGAGAGGAAGGUCCCCCACAUUGGAACUGAGACACGGUCCAA